CCUACGGGUGGCUGCAGUAAGGAAUAUUGGACAAUGGAGGCAACUCUGAUCCAGCCAUGCCGCGUGAAGGAUGAAGGCCCUACGGGUUGUAAACUUCUUUUCUCUUAGAAAAAACUACUGGUUUCGUACCGGUACUGAUUGUACAAGAGGAAUAAGCAUCGGCUAACUUCGUGCCAGCAGCCGCGGUACUACGAAGGAUGCAAGCGUUAUCCGGAUUCACUGGGUUCAGAGGGUGUACAAGUGCGGUGGUGAAAGCCCCCGACUCAAUCGGGGAACUGCCAUAGAUACUGUUAUUCUUGAGUGUGGUGGAGGCGGAUGGAAUAUGACAUGUAGCGGUGAAAUGCUUAGAUAUGUCAUAGAACACCGAUCGCGAAGGCAGUCCGCCAAACCAUUACUGACACUGAAACACGAAAGUGCGGGGAUCAAACAGGAUUAGAUACCCGUGUAGUC
rnacentral:rRNA from 1 species